rnacentral:lncRNA from 1 species
AUGGAACAGUGUGGACAUGAAAGUGAAAACAUCUGCCAUUGUGACUAUAAAUGUUUAAGAAACGAGUCCUGCGUACCUGCCUCCUUCAGUUUUCCAUCUGUAAGGUACCACUUAUUGGGUGCUUGCUAUUUGUGGAGCAAAAAGAAUGCUGAAGCAAGAAGGCAGCCUCGAAGGGGUGCUGUUCAGAGCCAAUUUACAAUUAUGAAGGAAGCCAGAUUGAAGAAAAUGCCAAAAAGUACAAAAGGGAAGGCCAAACUGAAAGAAUUUCAGAACAUCAGAGUCUGGGCCAUGAUGCACCCAGGCUUCAUGAUAUAUGAGGUAAUGCUUUUCCUACUUGUUUAUACUUCUUAUAGUCAAGCACAUUGUAAUUCAUGCAGCUCCUUAAGAAAAUGGGAAUCUGUGUGGUGUGGUAGAACUGCUGAGGUGGGUCUUCAUGGGGGGAACCCAGAUUUUAAAUGGUGAAAUGUUUAUAUAAUGCAACUAAAAAUAUUUGCUUCUUAUUGAUUAGCUUUUUUUUUUUUUAACACAAAACAGAGAUGUUCACUGUGACCUCAAGUGGAUUCUUCUCCACCAAUCCAAAAUUUUAUCCCAGGUAUUACAUUUAUCUUAAUUAUAACAUAGUGAUGAUCACUUGAUGAGCUGGUCAUGUAUGAUACAGCUGGUUGUGCUGGUCAUAAAUGAUACAUAACUAUAUGAACCUUAAAAAUCCUCAAAAAUAUGAUGUUGAGUUUAUAAAGCUGUCUAAAUUAUGUUGGAAAAGGGGGACAUUUAGUCCAUAUGACUGAGAAAAAAGAAUUCAUUAUGACAGUUCAGUUCAUUUCAAGAUGGCUGCUCUUAGGAAAAGUAUUUGUUGUCUUUCUAGAAAAAAUGUAAAUAUUCUUCACAGUGUGUCAUAUCUCUGGUGGCUUGAAGAAUUGGAGAGUGAAGGGGUUUAUGCUAUAAAAUGAUUAUUUUCAGCAUUUCUAUCAAAUAGAUUAUAAGGAAGUGAAUUACAUAUGGUCCAAACUGGUUUGAAGCAGAAUAAAUUCAUUCAUAUCUUCA